rnacentral:misc_RNA from 1 species
AUCACCACCACCACGUCCCCCUGCCCCAAUGACCUUGUGCCCGCAUUCCUGACGUCCUUGCCCCUCACACGCACACGCGCACCACCCCACCCCGCCACCUACCUCCAGCGCAGAGAGAGAACGAGCAUACAAGCACGCGCACGUGCUCCGCAUCUGCGAGUAUCUGCACCAACGUCCUCUUGCUCUCACACCCACUCCCUUCGGGCGCGUGCGGUGGCGCAUGUGUUGUGCUCCUACUCGUCAUUAGCAGCACCCGACUCACCGACGCGCGAGGCGGUGCAGCGACAAGCGUUAGAAGAAGACCGGCGCCGAGAAACAGCUCCGACAGAGGCCCCCAGAUACGCGCCAUCCAUAGCAGCUGACGAUGGAGAACUUGAUGUGGCUGCGGUAGGCGCCCCCUCUGAAAUCUCUGACCUCAGCGAUAGCACUCACCGCAUCUCCACCCCCGACGGCGCUGCAGCGCUGGCCUCCGUAAGCGCGUCGUCUGCGCUGUUAACGUCUCUGUCGCCGCCCAGCCACACAGCUCCCCUAGGCACGUCAGCGCGACCUCACAUGCCUCUCAUGCGCACGGCCACAAUGGAAACCUCGUCGCGCCUGUCCCCUCCUCCGUGCCACCACACCGCCGAAAGUCUCAGCAAAGAGCACCUCCGCCCUCCGCCGCCGGAGUCCGAGUCGUAUGUUAGCAUCAGACCCCCCCCCCCCACAACCACCUGGCGCCAGUGGGGCGCGUCUCUUUGAGCAUAUGCCAUCGCCAUCGCCGCCGCCGCCGCUGCUGCCCCCCCCUGCAUUCGCUGACAGGCUCGACGCACCUGUGUUCUCCUCGAUGCAUGUGAGUGCGCCGUGGUCAACAGCCGCGCUGAUCACCGGAGGCGGUUUCUCCGCCGUCGCCGCCAGUGGUAGGCACACAUGCGCUUACGAACACCCUUCCUGGCAGCCGCGGCUGCACUAGCAGCGGCGAUUCUUUUUUGGCCCGGGAGGGGCCAGCGACGCCUGGAGUACGCACCCUGUACAGGCUCUCGGCAUCGGCGGUAGUUGUAAUGAUCUGCCCUAUUCGUACACCAAGCCAAACAUGACUCCCGCCGACGCCGACACGCCACCCGCGAUGCUCUCUGUCAGCGGCAGCUAUCAUAAUGCUCCCCUUAGCCAAGUCAACGGAACAAGCUCACUGUUGGGUGACAUUCCAUCACCGGCAGUGCUGACCUGCGUCGUCGUCUUUUCCGGUGACGAGCAGGAAGUGUUCUGGCGCCGUGCGUGGCUCCGCGUGACGUGCGUACCCGUGACCAACACAUCGGGACGGCACCGCGAGGCAGCAGCAGAAGCAUCACGCAUCACGGAACCAUCUAUAAGCCUCGACGAGAUCAGAGACGGCGCCUGCAGCAGCAGUUGUAGCAACAGCGACAGGACGGGCUGCGCCAGUGGAAAGAAACUUAAUGAGUUCGUGUGGCGCUGGCUCGACACACUCGGCAUGACUGACGCCGUUGAAGACGUCCUCUCCCCCGGCGCGGGUCGCCUGUCGGUUGUGUGGACGGCAGGUGUCAUGUACGAGCAAGACAGUAGAGGAGGGGCUCUAGCGAUGACGCACAGAAGUCGUCGGCAGCAGGAGCGCGGCUGGCGAGGCUGCUCGGUGUCAGAGAUGGUGGUGAAAGCCGCGACAGCGUCGUCCCUGGUGCACCGUGCGAGGUUGUCUUUGACGGAAUGCGUCUUCUACUGGACUGAGUCGUGGUCACUGCGCACGCGAGGGCUCGUGGCGGAUGGUGAGCAACCGGAGGCGAGGCGCGAAAAGGAAGACGAGGUGCGCCAUGAUUGUCGUCCUCUCUUGCCCGUCGAAGAGGAAAAGAGGGGAAUAGAAAGGGGGCCCCUCUUCCUCUCCUUCGCCCUUAAGCGGGGCGCCACUCAUGGCGCAGCCACAGGCUCGCACACAUACCGCACUUCAUGAGCAAGCGCAGAGACGCUCACCGCAAAG